CGCGCUGCUAGCUUCGUGGCAUGCAAUGGCGCAUGCUAUCUUCGGCUGCACUGCCUCCAAAGACUUAGAGAUCUUUGGGCCAGAGACUUUGCAGAGCACAAAGCACCGUGCAAACGAGAGAGAGCUUUGAGCUGUGCUGCUGUACGUGUCAAGCCUCUACAUUGCAAAAGAGAAAAGCAAGAGCAGGCUGAUUUUACACUUAGGGCCAGCUCUCUGAGCCCUGGGAGCAACCUACCAAAAGCUUUUCAUGAUGUCAGGUUCGGCUGAUACACCCUGCCUUCCUGGGACCCAAAAGAAAAGCAAGCUCUCUAAGUGGGUCACGUGCGACAGCGAUCACAUUGCUCCACUGUGGGAUGAAGCUGACCUGGGCUGGGAUUGUUCAGCUGUGUAGCUGGGUCUGGAAGUGACCCAGCAAGGUCGGUGUGCCUUGCUUUCUCCCACCACACAUGGCUCUGUCACUGCACACAAGGCAUACUUCUAAAUAAAAAUGCUACCAGUGAAGAACAAGAAAAACUUUCAGUAGAAGUUCUGACCUUUUUGCCUCAUGUUAAUACUAAGCAAGUA